CACAGGGGCGAGCCCUCUCACUGGGACGGAGUUUGUGAGAAGGGGGACAAUUAACCGCCUUCCACGGAACCCUGGCUUGGCCACCUAGCGCCCUGAGUUCUGCGUCAGUUCUCUCACUGAACGUGCAUGGUUGACUGAGGUCCGAACUCUUUUUAUUCCCAUUCCUCAGAUGAAGGAACUUGGUGAUCGGUCUACGACAUCUGCCACCCCCCUCACUGAUCCCCAGGGUUGACUCAGCCCACUUGGCGGACGAAGGCUAUCCCGUCGCUGUCUCACUGUCCCGUGUGCAUCCCUCCGGAAGCUGAGGCCGUCAAAAGGGAGGACCAUGCCUGAAAGAGGAGGCCCAUUCUUCCGUCGAGGGUAUGCAAGUGGCUAGUCUCCCCUGCUCUGAAGAAGGUCUCAAGGUCCAUUUGUAGGAGAACGUAGGGUAAUCACACCUUCAAGACUCCAGACACAUCCAGAUGAGGUACUACGUGUAGUCGUCUGCUAAUCGUAAGGAAGGAAGGAAAGAAGGAAGCGGAGAGGGAGGAGGCAGGGGGCUUCUAAAGUGUAAAAAUUUGGCUAAUCACUCAUAUAAGUGGUAAAGAAGGAAUUUGAAUCCAAGAGCGUCUGACCCAAAUACUGGGCUCUUAACAGACUUGGUGUCUUUCAACAGGGGUACAAGGGAGCCCCCGCGGGACUUCAGUCUGAGAAGUAGCUUCUUCAGACCCCUUUCCCCACUGCCCACCAGACACACAUACUUGCUGGCUCAGAGGAACCCCCUCCCCACCACACCCCAGGUGCAUCUUCUCCGUCAUAGGAGGAGACUGGCAAGGAAUUUCCAGCCACGGAAGGCAUGUGACCAGGUCCUUAGACUCAGAAGACUGUUGCGCAUUCUGGGGAGCCCUGAGUUGAGGGCCCAAAGCAGUGCUGGGCCACGGUCUUCAGCACCAAGGUGCCGUGUGGCCUGGACUGUUGUACGAUUAAUGAGAUCUGAAGGCUCUUCCUGACCGGCUUUCUGCGAGGCUGACCUUCCAGGGGCUGGAGAUGCGCAUGCCAGCUGGACACAGAUAAGGGAAGACAUCUGACCAGCCUCUCAGCACUCCCCCUUGCCUACAUCAGUGCUUGAAAUUACUUCCACUGAAGACGAUCAACUCUCCAGGAAGGUGUCAGGCUCCUCCUGUGGCUUCAUAGACACCUCAGGCUCCCUGCCACCAACCUCUGGGCACUCGGGGCUGGAAACUUGAGAAUGCUGGUGCCAUCCCUCAGUGGGCAGGACCUCUGACUUUCCACCUCUGACCUCCCUGUCCAAGCGUGUCGCCUUUUCGCUCUGGUGAUGACGCCAGCUGGAAGUGACCACUCCUCUCUCA